UACGGGGGGGGGCAAGCGUUGUUCGGAAUUACUGGGCGUAAAGGGCUCGUAGGCGGCCAACUAAGUCGGACGUGAAAUCCCCAGGCUCAACCUGGGAACUGCGUCCGAUACUGGAUGGCUUGAAUCCGGGAGAGGGAUGCAGAAUUCCAGGUGUAGCGGUGAAAUGCGUAGAUAUCUGGAGGAAUACCGGUGGCGAACGGCGGCAUCCUGGACCGGCAUUGACGCUGAGGAGCGAAAGCCAGGGGAGCAAACGGG
rnacentral:rRNA from 1 species